AUCAGUGAUGACCUCCACCAUGACCUGGUCCCCUCUCCUCCUCACCCUCCUCACUCACUGGACAGGGUCCUGGGCCCAGUCUGUGCUGACUCAGCCGGCCUCGGUGUCUGGGUCCCUGGGCCAGAGGGUCACCAUCUCCUGCACUGGAAGCAGCUCCAACAUCGGUGGUAAUAAUGUGGGCUGGUACCAGCAGCUCCCAGGAACAGGCCCCAGAGCCCUCAUCUAUGGUAAUAGUUACCGACCCUCGGGGGUCCCUGAUCGAUUCUCUGGCUCCAAGUCUGGUAGCACAGCCACCCUGACCAUCUCAGGGAUCCAGGCUGAGGACGAGGCUGAGUAUUACUGCUCAUCAUGGGAUGAUAGUCUCAGAGGUCACACGGUGCUCCAGGCCUGUGGGGAAGUGAGACAAAAACCCACUUACCCAUCUGCAAAGUCAGGCAACUCAGCCACCCUGACCACCUCUGGGCUCCAGGCUGAGGAUGAGGCUGAUUAUUACUGCUCUUCCUAUGACAGCAAUCUUCAUGCUCACAUCGUGCUCCAGGCCUGUGGAGAAGAACAGAAGGUCCUGUGUUGUGAGGGUCUCGGCCUCUCCAUAACCAAUGUCAAGGUUGGGCCCUACCCUUGUGGUUUUGGUGAUGACUGCAGGAGGUCCUUCCGCUACAACACAGGAAACUUUGAAAAUUAA